AGCCGCGCGCUCGGUGUCGGUCCUCUGGGUGCCGCCGGGUGGGGAGCCUGGCUGAGCCGGAGCGGGAGCCGCGGCUAGGGGAGGCGGAGCCGGGGUGGGCAGUGAGGUGUAGCUCUCUCCACCAUGGGCAGCGCUCCGGGAGGGGAAAGGGACUGCGGACCCCCUGCUCGUGCUCCCUGCUGAGAUGCCAACCUUCUUCUAGAGGCCCCUUGUUUCGCGUCCCUAUCCUAAACUGGGUUUUUGCUGAGGGAGCAUGAAAUGAUGGAAGGGUGCAGAGUUGGAGGAUUGAAAAGAAGGCCUGCCUAGGAAUGGAGACCCUCCCCACCAUGUGCUUAGGAUGGGGGAGGAGGAGCUCUACCUUGUGGAUUCUCCCACCCCCGUUUCCCCAUCCCCACCCCCACCAGGAGCAGAGAGGACCUGACUGAAGCCAUCCACACUCAACACAAGUGUUUCCUUGGCAGCAUCCCCUGACUGAGUGCACCCCCUCCCGCAUUCUCCCAGACAAAGGUCAGCACUAGAGGGAGUAGAGAGAACCUAAGGCAACAGAACACUGGCCUGGAAUUGUGGAUACCUGGGUUUGAAUUGAAUGCAAGCUUCGCUCCACAAUAGCUGAGUGGUUUCAGACAACUGACCACACCACUCGGUGCGCUAGCUUUAUCGUCUGUAAUUGGUAUCUAUGGCUUGGUGAGAAUCAAACUAGACAAUGUACACCCAGUCACCUAGUCCAGCAUCAGUCAGGUAGUCCUGUAGAUAUGUGUUCCUUUCUCUUCUGUACGAAAAUCUAAAAAUGAAAAAAAAGAAAAAAGAUAAAGAUA